AGGGGAGCGGGAGGAGGGGGAGGAGAGAGCGGAGUAUACCGCAGACAUCAUUUCUACUACAGUGGCGGAGCCGUACAGGACCUGUUUCACUGCAGGGGGAUCCAAAAACAAGCCCCGUGGAGCAGCAGCCAGACCAACAGCAGCCGCAAGACAUUGUUUCUCUCCCUCUGUACCCCCUUCCCCACGCAACCCCAGAUCCAUUUACACUUUACAGAGCAUCGUGCAACAGCAAGUCACCAGGGUGGUUCAUUCGUGCUGCAGAUUUGCCUGCCAUCCUUGGCCCCCAGUCACCUGCUCCACUAUCACUGCGGGGAAGAGCGUCACAUGUCAGCAUCCUGGAGCCCGGGGAAGGAGUCUGCUUUGAAUCCUCCGAAGUAACGCUACUGCAGACCACAAGUAAGACAGAGGGGACGCCAGCCUGUGCGGGUGAUCGCGAAACACGGAUGUUUUUGGUCUAG
rnacentral:lncRNA from 1 species